UACAGAGGUCCCAAGCGUUGUUCGGAUUCACUGGGCGUAAAGGGUGCGUAGGUGGCCAGGUAAGUUUGGUGUGAAAGCUCGGAGCUUAACUCCGAAAAGUCAUUGAAUACUAUCUGGCUGGAGGGUCGGAGGGGAGACUGGAAUUCUCGGUGUAGCAGUGAAAUGCGUAGAUAUCGAGAGGAACACCAGUGGCGAAGGCGAGUCUCUGGACGACUCCUGACACUGAGACACGAAAGCCAGGGGAGCGAACGGG
rnacentral:rRNA from 1 species